rnacentral:rRNA from 1 species
CGUGCCAGCAGCCGCGGUAAUACGUAGGGCGCAAGCGUUGUCCGGAAUUAUUGGGCGUAAAGAGCUCGUAGGCGGCUUGUCACGUCGGUUGUGAAAGCCCGGGGCUUAACCCCGGGUCUGCAGUCGAUACGGGCAGGCUAGAGUUCGGUAGGGGAGAUCGGAAUUCCUGGUGUAGCGGUGAAAUGCGCAGAUAUCAGGAGGAACACCGGUGGCGAAGGCGGAUCUCUGGGCCGAUACUGACGCUGAGGAGCGAAAGCGUGGGGAGCGAACAGGAUUAGAUACCCUGGUAGUCCACGCCGUAAACGGUGGGCACUAGGUGUGGGCAACAUUCCACGUUGUCCGUGCCGCAGCUAACGCAUUAAGUGCCCCGCCUGGGGAGUACGGCCGCAAGGCUAAAACUCAAAGGAAUUGACGGGGGCCCGCACAAGCGGCGGAGCAUGUGGCUUAAUUCGACGCAACGCGAAGAACCUUACCAAGGCUUGACAUACACCGGAAAGCAUCAGAGAUGGUGCCCCCCUUGUGGUCGGUGUACAGGUG